rnacentral:rRNA from 1 species
UGGGGAAUUUUGGACAAUUGGGCGAAAGCCUGAUCCAGCAAUGCCGCGUGUGUGAAGAAGGCCUUCGGGUUGUAAAGCACUUUCAGCGAGGAGGAAGGUGGUGAGCUUAAUACGCUCAUCAAUUGACGUUACUCGCAGAAGAAGCACCGGCUAACUCCGUGCCAGCAGCCGCGGUAAUACGGAGGGUGCAAGCGUUAAUCGGAAUUACUGGGCGUAAAGCGCACGCAGGCGGUUUGUUAAGUCAGAUGUGAAAUCCCCGGGCUCAACCUGGGAACUGCAUUUGAAACUGGCAAGCUAGAGUCUCGUAGAGGGGGGUGAGAAUUCCAGGUGUAGCGGUGAAAUGCGUAGAGAUCUGGAGGAAUACCGGUGGCGAAGGCGGCCCCCUGGACGAAGACUGACGCUCAGGUGCGAAAGCGUGGGGAGCAAACA